rnacentral:rRNA from 1 species
AGUGAACGCUGGCGGUAGGCCUAACACAUGCAAGUCGAACGGCAGCACAGUAAGAGCUUGCUCUUACGGGUGGCGAGUGGCGGACGAGUGAGGAAUACAUCGGAAUCUACUUUUUCGUGGGGGAUAACGUAGGGAAACUUACGCUAAUACCGCAUACGACCUACGGGUGAAAGCAGGGGAUCUUCGGACCUUGCGCGAUUGAAUGAGCCGAUGUCGGAUUAGCUAGUUGGCGGGGUAAAGGCCCACCAAGGCGACGAUCCGUAGCUGGUCUGAGAGGAUGAUCCGCCACACUUGAACUGAGACACGGUCCAGACUCCUACGGGAGGCAGCAGUGGGGAAUAUUGGACAAUGGGCGCAAGCCUGAUCCAGCCAUACCGCGUGGGUGAAGAAGGCCUUCGGGUUGUAAAGCCCUUUUGUUGGGAAAGAAAAGCAGCAGGUUAAUACCCCGCUGUUCUGACGGUACCCAAAGAAUAAGCACCGGCUAACUUCGUG